rnacentral:rRNA from 1 species
AACGAACGCUGGCGGCAGGCUUAACACAUGCAAGUCGAACGGUUGUAGCAAUACAGCAGUGGCAGACGGGUGAGUAACACGUGGGAACCUUCCUAGGGGUACGGAACAACUCAGGGAAACUUGAGCUAAUACCGUAUACGUCCGUGAGGAGAAAGUUUUAACGCCCCUAGACGGGCCCGCGUAGGAUUAGGUAGUUGGUGAGGUAACGGCUCACCAAGCCUACGAUCCUUAGCUGAUCUGAGAGGAUGAUCAGCCACACUGGGACUGAGACACGGCCCAGACUCCUACGGGAGGCAGCAGUGGGGAAUCUUGGACAAUGGGCGCAAGCCUGAUCCAGCCAUGCCGCGUGAGUGAAGAAGGCC